GAAAAACCUAAAUUGAAAGAAAAAAAUAAGGGACUCAGAAUAUGGGUGGUGAUAUAACAGGAUGGUCGGCAAGGCCAAUUGGCCAUUACGACGAACGAGACCUAAUCACAAUCGUCACCGUCGCCUUUCAAAUUCAAUCUUAUUUGAAAAACUAAUUAAAAUCGAUUGAAAACAAGUUAAGAACAUGCGAGAUUAAAGCAAAGGGAAAAC
rnacentral:lncRNA from 1 species